CCUACGGGAGGCAGCAGUGGGGAAUAUUGCACAAUGGGCGCAAGCCUGAUGCAGCCAUGCCGCGUGUGUGAAGAAGGCCUUCGGGUUGUAAAGCACUUUCAGCGGGGAGGAAGGCGUUAAGGUUAAUAACCUUGUCGAUUGACGUUACCCGCAGAAGAAGCACCGGCUAACUCCGUGCCAGCAGCCGCGGUAAUACGGAGGGUGCAAGCGUUAAUCGGAAUUACUGGGCGUAAAGCGCACGCAGGCGGUCUGUCAAGUCGGAUGUGGAAUCCCCGGGCUCAACCUGGGAACUGCAUUCGAAACUGGCAGGCUAGAGUCUUGUAGAGGGGGGUAGAAUUCCAGGUGUAGCGGUGAAAUGCGUAGAGAUCUGGAGGAAUACCGGUGGCGAAGGCGGCCCCCUGGACAAAGACUGACGCUCAGGUGCGAAAGCGUGGGGAGCAAACAGGAUUAGAUACCCUUGUAGUC
rnacentral:rRNA from 1 species